rnacentral:rRNA from 1 species
CAAUAGCGUAUAUUAAAGUUGUUGCAGUUAAAAAGCUCGUAGUCGGAUUUCUGGCUUGGAAGGGCGGUCCGUUUGGCUUUGUCGAAUGUGAACUAGCAUCUUCCAGCCAUCCUCGUGGAGAGCUGUUUCUACCUUCAUUGGUUUGAGGCAUGCAAUCCGCGUCAUUUACUGUGAACAAAUUAGAGUGUUCAAAGCAGGCUUACGCCACUGAAUACAUUAGCAUGGAAUAAUACUAUAGGACUUUGGUGAUUCUAUUGUUGGUUACGCACCAGGGUAAUGAUUAAUAGGGAUAGUUGGGGGUAUUCGUAUUCAAUUGUCAGAGGUGAAAUUCUUGGAUUUAUGGAAGACGAACAACUGCGAAAGCAUUUACCAAGGAUGUUUUCAUUGA